rnacentral:lncRNA from 1 species
CCUGGUUUACAGUAGAACACAUCUGUUCUCAUAUGUUGUACAAGUCUUUCCGAAGCUCUGUGACAACUUUGAUACAGGAGGGAUGUCCUACUUAAAUACAUCACUUUAAUUUCUCAGCACCCGUAUAAUUCCUAGCACUGGACUAAGAAGAAGUUUUAGUGGAAACAUCUGUGUACAUCUGCAGUACAGUUCUGGAUCAAUAAGCCUCUGUGUUAAUUGCAGAAUUUCUUGCUGUUAAGUCCAGAACACCUGCUGUAAAACAAGAGGGGUCCCAGGAUGCAAGCCAGGGCACUAGUGUUCCGUUAGAAGGUUUGGUCAGCCUGAAAUGCCUGUGGGCUGGGCUGAUUUCCAGAGCACCCUGAGGAAAACCUGCACUGGGUCUUCAGGACUCCAGAAAGCGUGACUCUUUGACUGUUCCAUGGUCUGAUAUGGCUUAGAGUGCCUCACCUCCUCCACUGCCCAGCUCUGCCAGAGU